GCUGUUCUACGCUGUGGUGCUGAAGAGAAAAACUCUCCUCGCCUUUUCUCGCCCGCUUCAGUCUCGCUUCCUCCGCCGCUGCUGACUUGGCUUUUACCGUUGGCGGGUGCUGGAAGGCGGGAUCCCCUCAGGCUCACCCACCGCGGCUGCGCCGGAGCUCAGCAAGCAGCGGGAGACAUGUUUGACUGGUGCUGAAGAAAGAGUGAUGUCAGAUAUCUUCCUGCUGAGGUCAGAGUGGCUCCAUCAUCACGGCGAAGGCUUCCAUCAUGGCUACUUCUGGCCCAAAGACUGGACCAAGUGAACUCUAAAGGAAACACACCAAGCGUCCAAAGCAUGUAGUGUAGUUCUUACCUUAGGCUAGGGUCUGCGUUUUCCCCUCAAAGCUUCAUGUUUUUGGUUUGCAUUUGUGUAGCGAGGUCUAUUGUGAGUCCAUGACAAGAAGGUGACAGAGAAGUAGAAAAAGUAACACAGCGACAUGGUCCUCCACAUUACCCCUUAUUCCACUUCCUGUCUGUGCUUCCUGGACGGCUUGUCAUGGAGCCUGGUGUUCCCCUGCUACUGGCUCCUGGAUCAGCUCCUGGCCUCCUGUGUGGCGACCUCGCUGGAGAAACGCCGGCGCUCUCGGGAUCCGUGCUCCCUCCUGACUCUCUGCGUGUUGUUCAUGGCGCCACUUUACUUGCUCCUCCUCCUCACCUCGCUGCCUUUCGCUCUGCUGGGCUUCAUCAUCUGGGCACCUCUGCAGGCCGUCCGCCAGCCCUACCUGUACACCUAUAGCAGACCAGACACACACCAGACUGAGCAGGGCGAGACUGAGUCAGGGUUUGUUGGGGCAAAAGAGUGGAGACCUCAGGGCAAGAGCUUCUGUUUCUGCAGUGCCAAUGUCUGCCUGCUGCCUGACUCCCUGGCCAGGUUCAACAACCUGUCCAACACCCACAGGAGAGCACGGGAAGUGGGGAAAAGGAUCCGCAACGGUGCCUGUCGGCCUCAGAUUAAAAUCUACAUCGAUUCACCCACCAACACUUCUAUCAGUGCCACAUCUUUCAGCAGUCUGGCCGCAGGAUUUCGUCGUACAUCCUCCGUGGACCAGCGACCGGACCAUACACACACCGUUAAUGGUCCAUCAGAAACUGAAACUGAGCCUCUCACUGAGUGUCCGAUUCACCCCUCAGGUGCAACAGGCUGCCCAUUUCAUCCAUCUGCAGGAGUGCAGGGAUCCUCUGGAUGUCCCCUUCACCAAGAUGCUGAAGAGACCAAAGUGGAUUGCCCCCUCCAUCCUGUGGAAACUAACAGCAGCUCAGACUGUCCUUUACAUACUUUGGCCGAUACCCCAGACUGUCCUUUGCAUUGUUUGAAUAACGCUCCAGACUGUCAUAUUCAUCCUGUGGCUGAUGCCCCAAGCUGUCCUUUGCAUUCUGUGGCUGAUGCUCCAGACUGUCCUAUGCAUUCUGUGGCCGAUGCCCCGGGCUGUCCUUUGCAUUAUGUGGCCGAUGCCUCGGGCUGUCCUUUGCAUUAUGUGGCCGAUGCCCCUGGCUGUCCUUUGCAUUCUGUGGCCGAUGCCCCAAGCUGUCCUUUACAUUCUGUGGGCGAUGCUCCAGCCGGUCCUAUGCACUCCGCAGGAGCUCAGAGCGGUCUCAGCAAUCAUGGCUGCUCAAUGCAUGGGAAAGAGAAAAAAGAGAAAACCGCCGCUAACUGCCCACUUCACACAUCAGGGGUUCAGAUCAGCAUCAGUGCCCCAGAGCCAGAACCCCAAGAGGAGGUGACAGAAACAGGUAACCAUCAGUCAAGGGAGCCUGCAGGCGGCGACGUGGGCAGCAUGACCGCCUCAAAAGAAUCUCUUGCUCGAUACCAUGGAGGCGAUGGUGUAGGAGUGAUCUCCUCGAACAACACACUCUCUCAUGUGCCUCGCACUUCAAUAUUUAAGCGCCCCGGUAGGAAGCGUCGCCACGGAGAUGAGACGUUCGACCAUGAGAUUUCUGCCUUCUUCCCUGCCAACUUGGAUUUCCUUGCCCUGCAGGAAGUUUUUGACCAUGGUUCGACAACUCGACUGCGGCAACAGUUGCACCGAUACUUCCCCUAUGUGCUGAGUGAUGUCGGGCGGUACGGCUGGAAAGGUUGCGGUUCCAGUUUCAAAUUCCUGAACAGUGGCCUGAUGCUGGCAAGUCGAUACCCAAUCCUGGAUGCAUGCUAUGAGUGCUACCCCAAUGGAAGAGGAGAGGAUGCACUAGCAGCCAAAGGAGCACUUUUUGCCAAGGUCCAUGUGGGAACAUCCCAUCAAGAGCAGAGGAUUGUGGGAUACCUGACAUGCACACACCUCCACGCCAUAGAAGGUGACGCCGCUGUGAGAUGUGAGCAGCUGGAUUGGUUGCUCCGAUGGGGAGAGGAGUUUCGCCAAGCUUCGUCACAACUCACGGAAGGACAGAAAGCGCUAGAAGACCUCGUGGCCUUUGACGUCCUUCUGGGAGACCUCAACUUCGACAAUUGCUCUUCAGAGGACAAGCUGGAACAGCAGCAUGCAGUUUUUACUUUAUACAAGGACCCGUGUCGCCAGGGACCAGGAGAAGACAAACCUUGGGCUCUGGGUACACUGCUGGACCCCAGUGGCCUUUAUGAUGAUGACGUCAGCUCACCGGAAAAUUUACAAAAAGUGAUGGAGAAUGAGGAGGGCAGGAAGGAGUACCUGGUGUUUCCUACCAGUAAGAACCAGUGUCACCCCAGCAACCAGAAAGGACGGAAGAUUCCACUGAAAGGAAACGGACGGCGGAUUGAUUACAUCAUGUACAGCGAUGAGGGUCUGCAACAGGACUGGAAACUGGAAGUUGAGGAGGUGAGCUUCAUCACACAGUUGGCGGGCCUGACAGAUCACAUGCCUGUAGCCAUGCGAUUGGCUGUCGCGACAGGGGAGGAGGAGUCUUAAAGCACCAGCAUGUUGUCAAAGUGCUGCCAUGGAAGGAUGAGAGUCAAACGAGCGGAGCAGACGAAGUUGUUGAGGACAAGAGAAGGCUGAGAGGGACGAUGUUUCACCUCCGUUCCCGUGUUUUGACGUUGCUGUGUGUCUCGUCAUUCCUCGUCGUCCCCCUGCUUCCCUGACUGCCUGCUUCAUUCCCCGACUCCUUGCUCGUCCCUGGAUUCUGACGCCUCUCUACCUCCCCGGAUCACCUGCCUGCCCCUGGACUUCCUCUUCUCUCGUGCAACACUUGGUAACACACACUUCAGCUAAUCUACACACAUAGUCACUCUCAUACACUCUUGGAUUUUGUCACACUCCAUUCUAGUUUAUUAGUAUUGUUAAUUAUCAUUAUUAUAUAUAUAUAUAUACGUAUGUAACUAUAUAUAUAAUAAAUAAUUGCACAUACUGCCAUCUAGUGUCUGUUGCCGUCACCUCCCCUAGUAAACCACAACAACUGUAACUUAAAUAAAAUAAAAGCCUACAGUACUCCAAGUUUUAAAUAAAGGAGCAUACAGUAAAAGUACAAUUAUGGUACCAAGUACUCUAUAAAACCAUCAAAACAAUAAUACUGCAGCAAACGCAACCCCAGUAGCAUUUUAAUCUAAACUAUGCAAAUAACAGCCCAUGGGCGGCUAUUUGGACAUAGGCGGUUAUUAGGAAGAGGCGGUUCAUUCACAAAAUGGGGUUAGACCCCGGGCGGCUAUUAGGACAUGGGCGGUUAUUUGCCCAAGGGCGUUUAUUUGGUAAUACACGGUAUUUACAUUGUAGAUUGUCACUGAAGGCACCAAAACCAAAACUAUGAAUGAACACAUGUGGAGUUAUGUACUUAACAAAAAAAGGUGAAAUUACUGAAAACAUGUUUUAUAUUCAAGUUUCUUCAAAAUAGCCACCCUUUGCUCUGAUUACUGCUUUGCACACUCUUGGCAUUCUCUCGAUGAGCUUCAAGAGGUAGUCCUCUGAAAUGGUUUUCACUUCACAGGUGUCACAGUUGUGAUGCCUUCAGUGACAACCUACAAUGUAAAUAGUCAUGGAAAUAAAGAAAACGCAUUGACAUUGGAAGGUGUGUCCAAACUUUUGGCCUGUACUGUAUGUUCAAUUAAAAGUCAAAAGAUGUGAACACUGAAGGAGAUGGUGUAAGUAACCAACAAAUAUUGAAAACGAAAGGACUGGUAGAAAAAUGAAGACGCCAAGAGGAUGAACAACUAGAACAGGAAACACUUCCAAAAUAGGAUGACUACAAAGGGCUGAAGGAGGAGUGACCAAUCAGACAACUGACUUCACUUAGAUGCAGGUUGAAUUGUGCCUGGUGUGCCCCCUAGUGGACAACAGAUAACAAAGCACAGCAAGUGGACAGGCAACUGAUACGGAAUGUGACGGUUUCACCACUCUGAUGGAAAAAUAUAGCCUAUUUGAAUUCUUGAUUAUGCAUGACAGUAUACCUUUUGGAAUUGUAUUAUUUAGUCACUUAUAGCUUGAUGACAUUUGCUCACUAGCAAUGGAAGGUUGGGGCACUAAAAGUGAAAAUCCACGUCCUCACAAUAACACCAAUGUGACACUCUACCAGGCUCAUGCUAGCAGACACUGCCAUAUCGGCUAACAGUUGCUUACAUCCUGGAAUGUUCAUCAUCAUCAUAUGGUGCAUGUGGGGGUCGGAUGGAACCAGGAUGUACAAAACCCCAAACCAGUGCAGUUGGCACAUUGUGUAAAUUGUAAAUAAAAACAGAAAACAAUGAUUUGCAAAUCUUUUUCAACUUAUGUUCAAUUGAAUAGACUACAAAGACAAGAUACUUUUACAUUCAAACUAGAAAACUUUAUUUCAGCAAAUAUUAGCUCAUUUAGAGUUUGGUGCCUGCAACAUGUUUCUAACCCUAACUACAGUUUGUCGCUACAUCUGUAAGAGCAAGUUAAAACUCUACUAUGCAAAGCCAAAGCCAUUUAUCAACAACACCCAGAAACGCCGCCGGCUUCGCUGGGCCCCAGCUCAUCUAAGAUGGACUGAUGCAAAGUGGAAAAGUGUUCUGUGGUCUGACGAGUCCACAUUUCAAAUUGUUUUUGGAAACUGUGGACUUUGUUCUCCGGAACAAAGAGGAAAAGAACCAUCCGGAUUGUUAUAGGUGCAAAGUUGAAAAGCCAGCAUCUGUGAUGGUAUGGGGGUGUAUUAGUGCCCAAGGCAUGGGUAACUUACACAUCUGUGAAGGCGCCAUUAAUGCUGAAAGGUACAUACAGGUUUUGGAGCAACAUAUGUUGCCAUCCAAGCAACAUUACCAUGGACGCCCCUGCUUAUUUCAGCAAGACAAUGCCAAGCCACAUGUUACAACAGCAUGGCUUCAUAGUAAAAGAGUGCGGGUACUAGACUGGCCUGCCUGUAGUCCAGACCUGUCUAUCAUUGAACAUGUGUGGCGCAAUAUGAAGCCUAAAAUACCACUACGGAGACCCCCGGACUGUUGAACAACUUAAGCUGUACAUCAAGCAAGAAUGGGAAAGAACUCCACCUGAAAAGCUUCAAAAAUUGGUCUCCUCAGUUCCCAAAGGUUUACUGAGUGUUGUUAAAAGGAAAGGCCAUGUAACACAGUGGUAAACAUACCCCUGUACCAACUUUUUUGCAAUGUGUUGCUGUCAUUAAAUCCUAAGUUAAUGAUUAUUUGCAAAAAAAAUUACGUUUCUCAGUUCGAACAUUAAAUAUCUUGUCUUUGCAGUCUAUUCAAUUGAAUAUAAGUUGAAAAUGAUUUGCAAAUCAUUGUAUUCUUUUUUUAUUUACGAUUUAGACAACGUGCCAACUUCACUGGUUUUGGGGUUUGUAAAAUGUGACGCAUUUUCUAUAAAGUGUACGUUUUGAUUGAAAGGCUACUUGUACUUUUACCUCAAAUCAAUCAAAUGUAAUAAAAGUGUUCUCGAAAUUGAAAACUUUAGGCAUGUUGAUCAAAAGUUCCGUUGAAUGAACGACGUAGCAAACACAUUUACGUCACGGUUGAAACCUUUUCCUCUCUGAAGGGCCAACAUACUUCUUCAGUUUCAGUCGGCGUACUUAACAAUCGGCUCUACGUUUGCUUGUGGAGCUAAGCAUCGUUUUAUACACACACUAUAGUAUAACCGUAUGCCAUAAUCACCGUUUUAAGGCCGCAGUUCGGUUCACUUUUUUAUGCCAAACCUAAAACUGCUUAUAUUUGGCCUAAAAACCUUUUAUUUUUCUUUAGAUAAAUUAUAAUAAAUAUCAAAAACUGAUAUUCCGUGUGAGGAUUCAGUGCACCUCUGUGCUGUAGGGAAAAACUAAAUUACAAAUUAAAAUUUGCCAUUGAUUCUUUUCUUGAUCUUGCUUUUUAACCUGUUAUGGUGAUAAUAUACACAGCAAUCAUAAUUACUCAUUUAAGUACGGCAGUAUUUUGGCUUUCCAAUAAUAAUCCGUUCCAAAAGGACCGCCAAAAACCACAGCAUUGUUCCCCGUAAUGUAAAUCCAAUGAAUAUGUCCAAUUCUUCACAGAAAGUCACAUUCCUUGUUUGGGCCCUCUAUUCCGAUAAGUUAUAGCAGUGGUUCUCAACCUUUUUUCAGUGAUGUACCCCAUGUGAAAAUGUUUUAAAUUCAAGUACCCCCUAAUCAGAGUAAAGCAUUUUUGGUUGAAAAAAAAGAGAUAAAGAAGUAAAAUACAGCACUAUGUCAUCAGUUUCUGAUUUAUUAAAUUGUAUAACAGUGCAAAAUAUUGCUCAUUUGUUGUGGUCUUUCUUGAACUAUUUUGAAAAAAAGAUAUAAAAAUAACUAAAAACUUGUUAAAAAAUAAGCAAGUGAUUCAAUUUUAAAUAAAGAUUUCUACACAUAGAAGUAAUCAUCAACUUAAAGUGCCCUCUUUGGGGAUUGUAAUAGAGAUCCAUCUGGAUUCAUGAACUUAAUUCGAAACAUUUCUUCACAAAAAAAGAAAUCUUUAACAUCAAUAUUUAUGGAACAUGUCCACAAAAAAUGUAGCUGUCAACACUGAAUAUUGCAUUGUUGCAUUUCUUUUCACAGUUCUUUUUGACAGACAUUUAAAAAAAAUCUCACGUACCCCUUGGCAUACCUUCAAGUACCCCCAGGGGUAUGCGUACCCACAUUUGAGAACCACUGAGUUAAAGUACCACUGAUAGUCACACACACACUAGGUGUGGUGAAAUAACUCUCUGCAUUUGACCCAUCCUCUUGUUCCACCCCCUGGGAGGUGAGGGGAGCAGUGAGCAGCAGCGUUGGCCGCACUCGGGAAUCAUUUUGGUGAUUUAAACCCCAAUUCCAACCCUUGAUGCUGAGUGCCAAGCAGGGAGGUAAUGGGUCCCAUUUUUAUAGUCUUUGGUAUGACUCUGGCCGGGGUUUGAACUCACGACCUACCGAUCUCAGGGCGGACACUCCUAACCACUAGGCCACUGAGCGAUAAGCCGACUAGUUUGUUACGUUUAUUGUUCCCCAGACGGUGUAUGAAAACCGGGUGCGACAUUUUGAUGAAAAUGUUUUGUCCAAAAUCAAAUUAUACAAAAAGGCAGGACCUACGAAAACCGAGGUACCCCUGGAGCUGACCUUCGACCCUGACCAAUUGCAACCGAAGGCGUUGUCAGCGGAGGAGUUUGUCGCCUCGAAGGAGAAGAAUGCAGAUUUAUAACUUGAUAUUUAAGUAUCUAAUUUAAAUGAACUUGGGAAAUAUCGUUUGAAAAGACUCAAUGAUCAGAAUAAAACCCCUUUAACAACCUGCUUGUUUUUUAUGUACUUUUUGAUACAAAAGUGGCAUCAAUUUUUUUUUUUUUACACGUCAAACUGCCGUUUCUCCAUAAAAACAAAGGUAACAGAGGAUAUAUUGGCAGUAUUACAAAGUAGUACACAGGAAAGUGCAGUAAAAGUGUGUGUCAGCUGGCUGCUCUCAGAACCUUGAAGAUCCUAUAAGACAUAUUAUUAUUAUUAUUAUUAUUAUUAUUGCCAUGUUGAGAGUAUCACAAUGCUUGAAUCAAUUGGAUAAAACUUAAUGCUUUAUGCUGUGUUUCAAUUGGUGCACUUGUGUACGUACAUUUAGUCUUUCCAGUAAUUAUGUGCUGCAAAAACGCUUAAAAUUAGUGGCUUCAAAUUGCAUCAAAAAGGAAAGAAAAAGGUAAAUAUUAUUUUUGGUAAGCGUACAACAAAGACUCUGUGUACUUAUUCAAGUGUACUGACACAAGUGUUCCAUCUGAGAUGCAGCACUUUUAGUCCCUUGAGGACACAUGUUAUGUUUAUUAUGAGGUUAUUCUUUGAUGUAUUUUUGUUAUGAUUGAGUAUUUUAUUCACCUCCUUUGUUAAAGUAAAAGAUCGGGUCAAACCUUGUGCUUGAUCAUGAAGAUACUACUUGAUAGUGUUGGUUAUACAAGAGGACAUCUUUAUGAUGAUGGAUGAUUCAUUUCUGCCUCAUUUUUGUAUUGACGUCAUGUACUAAACUAACACAUGUUUAAUAAUCCAAGAGGUCUUUUAUUUAUUGAAAGUGUACAUUUUGCAAAUAAAAG